UAAGACAGAGGUGCCGAGCGUUAGGCGGAAUCACUGGGCUUAAAGCGUGUGUAGGCGGAUCGUUAAGUACCUUGUGAAAUCCCACGGCUUAACCGUGGAACUGCUGGGUAUACUGGCGAUCUUGAGGUGCUCAGGGGCGAGCGGAACAGAUGGUGGAGCGGUGAAAUGCGUAGAUAUCAUCUGGAACGCCUGCGGUGAAAACGGCUCGCUGGGAGCAAUCUGACGCUGAGACACGAAAGCCAGGGGAGCGAACGGGAUUAGAUACCCCGGUAGUCCUGGCCCUAAACGAUGUCCACUAGGCCGCGGAAGCUCUGACGCUUUCGCGGCCGGAGCAAAAGUGUUAAGUGGACCGCCUGGGAAGUACGGUCGCAAGGCUA
rnacentral:rRNA from 1 species